GAGGAUACAUCAAAACUCCUGUUUUAACGGUGUUGUCUGAGCUACAAGCAACGAAUCAAAACUUUCAACAACGGAUCUCUUGGUUCUGGCAUCGAUGAAGAACGCAGCGAAAUGCGAUAAGUAGUGUGAAUUGCAGAAUUCAGUGAAUCAUCGAAUCUUUGAACGCACAUUGCGCCCCUUGGUAUCCCGAGGGGCAUGCCUGUUCGAGCGUCAUUUCACCACUCAAGCCUGGCUUGGUGUUGGGCGACGUCCGCUUUUGGGGACGCGUCUCGAAACGCUCGGCGGCGUGGCACCGGCUUUAAGCGUAGCAGAAUCUUUCGCUUUGAAAGUCGGGGCCCCGUCUGCCGGAAGACCUACUCGCAAGGUUGACCUCGGAUCAGGCAGGGAUACCCGCUGAACUUAAGCAUAUCAA
rnacentral:rRNA from 1 species